CAGAUAUCCAGUUGGUAGAGUAGCUAUCCAAGAGACCAAAUUCAAGCUGUUGUAUCAAGACUGUGAAUCUCCUGACAAUGCACAGAGGAUUUCAUCAAAAAUCCAGCAGAGACUCUACGGCAGCCAGAAAGAGGAGGGACUGGAGCUUAGUCAGUGUCAAGGCUUCUGUCCUCAAUGAAACACAAAUCAUCCAUCAGUUCAAUGGAUUGAAAGAACAUCAGGAAGGAAAGACAAAUGACCUGUUCCAGGUGUUUUAUAACAAGAGGAUAUCUACUGUGACACACUUUCUCCUGUACACAUACGCACACAAAACCUGUCCAAGGUCAUUCCUUGAGAUGAAAUCCCCCUUUAUUUAUGAGUGAAAAUAUUUAAAUAUUUCAGGGUAUGAACAAGGUGGAAUUUUGCAUUUUUCAGAUGGUAAAAAGCCGUUCUCUGGUUUGCUUUGUGCCGAGCACAGUUACAGCUACAAAAGAAUAAUCUUGAUUCCACGCUGAGGAACACCUGUUUGUUGCUAUAAAUAAAUAAAUACAGAUCCGUUCUUCAUUGUGCAUCUUUCUUUCUGUCCUUUAUUUUUAUGUAAAGCAACAACAGGCAAGAUACCCGAACAUGCUUCUGGAUUAAAAGCCUGAACUACAAAGUAAAGAUGCGACUUAGAAAGAGUUACCCCACCCACCAAAUCGAUGCUGUUGAACUGCCAAAAGUAAAUUAUGGUGCAUCUUUGUAGAAGAUGAAGAAUGGACCUUUAGAAAAAGGCAAUAAUAGCAACAAGGCAAAAAACCUAUUAUAGGACAGAAAAACCUGCACAAUUAUUUUAAGGACUGUUGAGAAUGGCAGCCAUCAUUACCCUUUUUAUUAUUACCAUUAAACAGUCAUAUAGCCAUGCUGGCAGCUUUGAGACUGGACUUUGAGCUAAAUCAAAGUAAUUUCAUGCCACUCUGAUAGCAGUGGCACUUGCAUCCGAGAGUUUCCCAGACAACAACAUAGAGGUUGACUCACACUGCAAAACAGCACAAGAUUUCCACAAGAAUGGAUAUAAGGGCUGCACAGUUUAUCUAAAUAUUAUUAGCAUUAUAAUGAAGAGCUGAAGUGCUGCAGAAAUGCUACAAAUGUUGUUAUUUGAUGACUUCUGCUCUGUAACCAAACUAUAAAAAGCACCAGCAUAAUGUUGCAUUGUUCAUGUCUGUUUGUUUUUUGCCUUACCAUAACAAAAUGUAUCAGUUUAACACACCUAUUACCAAACAGUGUUUUGUCUGUGAACGCAUAUAAUAUGAUGUGUUCUUGUUUGUAUGUUUCACCUUCACCAGUGUAUUUCAGAACCAACCCACAGGGAGCAGAUUUAUUUUAAAGAUGCAGAAUAUGUAUGAGUGUCUAGGCGCUGACCCCGCAAACAGAGAUUGGGGAAUGGCGAUAAUGAAAAUCACAUUAGAUAUAGAGCACCGCGCCAGCUAUUGUGGAAUCAACUAUGUAAGGGCCAGGAUCCAUGUGGCAUCCAACCACUGUGGGGAAUAUACCGCCUGGUGGAUUGAGAUGUAAAAAACUAAACCGGCCAAUGCUGAUAUGCAGCUGCAGACACAGUUCAGCUAUUAAGCAUAUUAAAAUCUCCAAAACUCAUGGCUUGGUGCAAACGUUUCUUAUGAAAUGUUAUGGGGUAUAAUAAGCAGAUGACCAUGAGUACAUGAGUGUGAUUUUAAGGUUGGUAAUGAGUUUAGCAGCAGUGUAAUGUUACACCUUAAAAUAGGAGCUCAGCAUGUAAUAAUGUGAAGGUGCAAGUUGUAACAUAAACCUUUUGGUUUUUAGUUAAAUAUUUAUUUAAUGCUCAGCUGGACAUGUGUCUACUAGUUUCUAUUGGUGACAAAAAAUCUAUGUUUAAUUUCCCAUUAAGCACACGUAACAGUGGACUGAAGGCAAAGCAAUGCUCAUGUUUACUUUCAUAUAAACCCAACAAUAUUACAACAGGCAACAACACAACAACCUAAAACCAAUAAAGCCUGUGAUACUCAAACAAAACUACUCACUUACCCACAAUGCAGAAAGUGUGCAGCAGUAGGUAGCAGCCAACAGAUGCUAAAAGACUGUCCGCAAAAAAAAAUAUAUAUAUAUUAGCAGCCAAUUAGCUUGGGCUCAUGUUUAGCUAGCUGCUGGCUACCUAACAUACACAGUCACAAUGUGCAGCACAAGCACCGGAUACUGAGUUUACUGAAGUGCAGCGUUGGUCCCCAGCAUCUCAUGGGUCAAUAAAUCCUUCUGAAGAGCCAGUUUGAAGCCCUUAGCCAAGAGCUUGCAUUAUGCUAUAUUAUGCUACAUGGGCAGCAAAUGUAGCCACUGACAGUUUAAAUAGUCCGCCUCAUUGCAAAGGGUGCGUUUGAUAUAUGUUACAUCAACUAGACUAUGUCAUGUGUGACUGAAGCAGCGCAAUGAACAGCGUCUGAUGCUUUUUGCUCAAUUUAGUUACAAAAUAAUGGAUGUCGCUAUUAAAAUUAUUAGCUGUAUAUCCAAUUUAAAAUACAUAUUUUUGUUAUUGUGGAUGUUUUUUUUUUACCUCAGUGUUAAUCUUUAAUUGCACUUCAACCUCACCAUGUUUAUUUUAAAUGUACAGUUCUGCAUUGUGCAGGAUUAUCAUAAAAUACCAUAAAACAUAAUACCAAAACACAAAAAUAAAUAGGCUGAUGACAAAAUUGGGGGUGGACAAGUACAGCACAUUAUCAUAUGAUUAGACAUAAUGAACUUAUUUACAGGGUCUGCUGACCUGUAUAGGGAAGCAAAAUCAGCUCAGGUACAGUUUCAGGGCUCACCACAGUCAUGGUCAUAAACCUCUCCGCCUCUGUUAAACCUAAAGCAAAUGUUGCCUUAAAUAACUUCCUUACACUAAGCUUCUCUACACAUACAUAGCUCAGUGUGUUUUCAUGAGUUACCAGACUUUUCAUAUGCAUGUGGGGUUUGACAAAAGACUGGGUACCUGGGGC
rnacentral:lncRNA from 15 species